GUCUACGUCCAUACCACCCUGAACACACCUAACCUCAUCUGAUAUUGGAAGCUAAGCAGCGUCCGGCCUGGUUAGUAUUUGGAUGGGAGACCACCUGGGAAUGCUGGGUGCUAUACAGG
rnacentral:rRNA from 1 species